rnacentral:ncRNA from 1 species
AAUGUGUUAAUAAUCACCUAACUUAGACCUUGAAUCUACACCCCCUAAUCUUCUAAAUCAUCGACCCAUAACCCAUAACCCUUCUAAAGACACAAUGUGAUUUAUUCCUAUUGCUCUGCAUGUCAAAGUGAAUAAAUUCAGCCAAGCUCGGGUAAACGACGAGAGUAAAUAUGACUAUAUUAAGGUAGCCGUAUGCCUCGUCAUCUAAUUAGUGACGCACAUGAAUGGAUCAUUAACGAGAUUCUCCACUGUCCCUAGCUACUAUAUUCUAUAGAAACCACAUCUAAGGGAAUGGGCUUGG